GACGAACGCUGUUGGCGUGCUUAACACAUGCAAGUCGAACGGAAAGGCCCUGCUUUUGUGGGGUGCUCGAGUGGCGAACGGGUGAGUAACACGUGAGUAACCUGCCCUUGACUUUGGGAUAACUUCAGGAAACUGGGGCUAAUACCGGAUAGGAGCUCCUGCUGCAUGGUGGGGGUUGGAAAGUUUCGGCGGUUGGGGAUGGACUCGCGGCUUAUCAGCUUGUUGGUGGGGUAGUGGCUUACCAAGGCUUUGACGGGUAGCCGGCCUGAGAGGGUGACCGGCCACAUUGGGACUGAGAUACGGCCCAGACUCCUACGGGAGGCAGCAGUGGGGAAUAUUGCACAAUGGGCGGAAGCCUGAUGCAGCAACGCCGCGUGCGGGAUGACGGCCUUCGGGUUGUAAACCGCUUUCGCCUGUGACGAAGCGUGAGUGACGGUGAUGGGUAAAGAAGCACCGGCUAACUACGUGCCAGCAGCCGCGGUGAUACGUAGGGUGCGAGCGUUGUCCGGAUUUAUUGGGCGUAAAGGGCUCGUAGGUGGUUGAUCGCGUCGGAAGUGUAAUCUUGGGGCUUAACCCUGAGCGUGCUUUCGAUACGGGUUGACUUGAGGAAGGUAGGGGAGAAUGGAAUUCCUGGUGGAGCGGUGGAAUGCGCAGAUAUCAGGAGGAACACCAGUGGCGAAGGCGGUUCUCUGGGCCUUUCCUGACGCUGAGGAGCGAAAGCGUGGGGAGCGAACAGGCUUAGAUACCCUGGUAGUCCACGCUGUAAACGGUGGGUACUAGGUGUGGGGUCCAUUCCACGGGUUCCGUGCCGUAGCUAACGCUUUAAGUACCCCGCCUGGGGAGUACGGCCGCAAGGCUAAAACUCAAAGGAAUUGACGGGGCCCCGCACAAGCGGCGGAGCAUGCGGAUUAAUUCGAUGCAACGCGUAGAACCUUACCUGGGUUUGACAUGGAUCGGGAGUGCUCAGAGAUGGGUGUGCCUCUUUUGGGGUCGGUUCACAGGUGGUGCAUGGCUGUCGUCAGCUCGUGUCGUGAGAUGUUGGGUUAAGUCCCGCAACGAGCGCAACCCUUGUUCACUGUUGCCAGCACGUUAUGGUGGGGACUCAGUGGAGACCGCCGGGGUCAACUCGGAGGAAGGUGGGGAUGACGUCAAGUCAUCAUGCCCCUUAUGUCCAGGGCUUCACGCAUGCUACAAUGGCUGGUACAGAGAGUGGCGAGCCUGUGAGGGUGAGCGAAUCUCGGAAAGCCGGUCUCAGUUCGGAUUGGGGUCUGCAACUCGACCUCAUGAAGUCGGAGUCGCUAGUAAUCGCAGAUCAGCAACGCUGCGGUGAAUACGUUCCCGGG
rnacentral:rRNA from 1 species